rnacentral:rRNA from 1 species
CGCGUUUUAAGCAUGCAAGUCGAACGGUAGAGAAACUUCGGUUUCUUGAGAGUGGCGAACGGGUGAGUAACACGUAGAUGAUCUGCCUUGAAGUUGGGGAUAGCCUAUAGAAAUAUGGGAUAAUACCGAAUAAUCUCUUACCACUAUGGUGGUUUGAUGAAAGGGGCUUCGGCCUCGCUUUAAGAUGAGUCUGCGGUCUAUUAGCUAGUUGGUAGGGUAAGAGCCUACCAAGGCGACGAUAGAUAGCCGGCCUGAGAGGGUGACCGGCCACAUUGGGACUGAGACACGGCCCAAACUCCUACGGGAGGCAGCAGCUAAGAAUCUUCCGCAAUGGGCGAAAGCCUGACGGAGCGACGCCGCGUGGACGAAGAAUGCCGAGAGGUUGUAAAGUCCUUUUAUAUGCGAAGAAUAAUGCCUGUAGGUAAUGACAGGCAGAUGACGUUAGCUUAUGAAUAAGCUCCGGCCAAUUACGUGCCAGCAGCCGCGGUAACACGUAAGGAGCGAGCGUUGUUCGGAAUUAUUGGGCGUAAAGGGCAUGUAGGCGGUUACAUAAGUCUGGUGUGAAAUACUACAGCUUAACUGUAGAAACGCAUUGGAAACUGAGAGACUUGAAUCAGUGAGGGGUAACCGGAAUUCCUAGUGUAGGGGUGAAAUCUGUUGAUAUUAGGAAGAACACCGAUGGCGAAGGCAAGUUACUGGCACAUGAUUGACGCUGAGAUGCGAAAGCGUAGGGAGCGAACAGGAUUAGAUACCCUGGUAGUCUACGCUGUAAACGAUGUGCACUUGGUGUUGGGGUUUCUAAGCCUCAGUGCCGUAGCUAACGCGUUAAGUUCUCCGCCUGGGGAGUACGCCGGCAACGGUGAAACUCAAAGGAAUUGACGGGGGCCCGCAC